CAGGAGAUUGGUCAGGGACAUGCUCAUUUGUGUUGGAAGAGGAAUGCCUGGGUGACCCAGAAAGCACAGAAACCGAGCCCACUGCAAUUCAGGAGCCAGGAGAUGAUGCUACACAUACAACAGGCACUGCAAGCACUUCAAGUGUAGCUACUGUCUUGCCUGUACCAUCAGAGAUACUACAACCAAUAGAGAACUCCAAUGUCCCGUCAGCAUCACAACCUUCCUCAAAAGAAAAG